UGGGGAAUAUUGCACAAUGGGCGAAAGCCUGAUCCAGCAAUGCCGCGUGUGUGAAGAAGGCCUUCGGGUUGUAAAGCACUUUUGUCCGGAAAGAAAUCCUUGGCUCUAAUACAGUCGGGGGAUGACGGUACCGGAAGAAUAAGCACCGGCUAACUACGUGCCAGCAGCCGCGGUAAUACGUAGGGUGCAAGCGUUAAUCGGAAUUACUGGGCGUAAAGCGUGCGCAGGCGGUUUGCUAAGACCGAUGUGAAAUCCCCGGGCUCAACCUGGGAACUGCAUUGGUGACUGGCAGGCUAGAGUAUGGCAGAGGGGGGUAGAAUUCCACGUGUAGCAGUGAAAUGCGUAGAGAUGUGGAGGAAUACCGAUGGCGAAGGCAGCCCCCUGGGCCAAUACUGACGCUCAUGCACGAAAGCGUGGGGGAGCAAAACAGGAUUAGAUACCCCUGGUAGUCCACGCCCUAAACGAUGUCAACUAGUUGUUGGGGAUUCAUUUCCUUAGUAACGUAGCUAACGCGUGAAGUUGACCGCCUGGGGAGUACGGUCGCAAGAUUAAAACUCAAAUGAAUUGAC
rnacentral:rRNA from 1 species